rnacentral:rRNA from 1 species
GAUGAACGCUAGCGGCAGGCCUAACACAUGCAAGUCGAGGGGCAGCACAUAAAGUGGUUUACUACUUUUGGUGGCGACCGGCGGACGGGUGCGUAACGCGUAUGCAACCUGCCUCCAACAGGGGGAUAACGGAGAGAAAUUUCCACUAAUACCCCAUAAUAUCAGAAUCGGCAUCGGUUUUGGUUGAAAACUCCGGUGGUUGGAGAUGGGCAUGCGUUGUAUUAGAUAGUUGGUGAGGUAACGGCUCACCAAGUCAACGAUACAUAGGGGGACUGAGCGGUUAGCCCCACACACGUGUAAUGAGACACGGACCAGACUCCUACGGGAGGGAGCAGUGAGGAAUAUUGGUCAAUGGGGGCAACCCUGAACCAGCCAUGCCGCGUGCAGGAAGACGGCUCUAUGAGUUGUAAACUGCUUUUACAAGGGGAUAAAUCGGUGUACGUGUACACCGUUGAAGGUACCUUGGGAAUAAGGAUCGGCUAACUCCGUGCCAGCCGCCGCAGUAA